UAGUGGCGAACGGGUGCGUAACGCGUGGGAACCUGCCUUUAGGUCCGGAAUAACAGUUAGAAAUGACUGCUAAUGCCGGAUAAUGUCUUCGGACCAAAGAUUUAUCGCCUUUAGAUGGGCCCGCGUAGGAUUAGGUAGUUGGUGAGGUAAAGGCUCACCAAGCCGACGAUCCUUAGCUGGUCUGAGAGGAUGAUCAGCCACACUGGGACUGAGACACGGCCCAGACUCCUACGGGAGGCAGCAGUAGGGAAUAUUGGACAAUGGGCGAAAGCCUGAUCCAGCAAUGCCGCGUGAGUGAUGAAGGCCUUAGGGUUGUAAAGCUCUUUUACCAGGGAUGAUAAUGACAGUACCUGGAGAAUAAGCUCCGGCUAACUCCGUGCCAGCAGCCGCGGUAAUACGGAGGGAGCUAGCGUUGUUCGGAAUUACUGGGCGUAAAGCGCGCGUAGGCGGCUUUCCAAGUCAGGGGUGAAAUCCCGGGGCUCAACCCCGGAACUGCCCUUGAAACUGGAUGGCUAGAAUACUGGAGAGGUGAGUGGAAUUCCGAGUGUAGAGGUGAAAUUCGUAGAUAUUCGGAAGAACACCAGUGGCGAAGGCGACUC
rnacentral:rRNA from 1 species